CCGGCACUGCCUCUUGCUGGAAGCCCAGAACCCAGCUGAUCCAGAUGGUUUCCUAGUGGCUGGGCUCAUUCCAAUCAGUGCCUUGCUCUACUUCACCGGAGGGCUGUGAGGACUGAUGGUCCUUCUGCAGCAUAGAGCCCUGGGAGGAACCUUUAGAUACGCUGAAGAUGAACAGUGCCAACAAUCUACCUCAUGAUAUCAGACCCAUAAACCUCUGCCUGCAGCUGGUCCAUUCACUCAUUAAACUGAGAAGACCCAAGCAUCUGCUAGCAGCAAACACUCGAAAAGAUCUCCCCCAAGGACCUACAGUCUCAAGAGAACCCAACAAACGGUUUGGAAUGGAGAAGCAGGAAUUAUUGACUCGGGCUCAAUUCUAAGAAGCUGCUUGAGCUAGCUCCAUUUCCUUCAUAUCCCAGUCACAAGAAUGCAUAUUCAUGUACAUGGCUGCAAUACAGUUAUGAAUUCUUUCUUCCCUUUAUAAACUCAUCCAGGCUGGACCCGAGUAGUUGUUGUUUGUUAUUCUAAGAAGGAAGCUACUUCCCAUCGUAUCCACUUGCUCUUUCAUA